CAACGUGGGUGGACCUGCCUCGAAGUGGGGGAGUAACCAUGGGAAACCGUGGCUAAUACCGCAUGUGCUUAGCAGACUUGGCGUCUGCUAAGUAAAGCUUUAGUGCUUCGAGAGGGGCCUGCGCCCGAUUAGGUAGUUGGUGAGGUAAUGGCUCACCAAGCCGAUGAUCGGUAGCUGGUCUGAGAGGACGAUCAGCCACACGGGAACUGAGAUACGGUCCCG
rnacentral:rRNA from 1 species